CCUACGGGUGGCAGCAGUGGGGAAUAUUGCACAAUGGGCGAAACCCUGAUGCAGCGACGCCGCGUGAGCGAUGAAGUAUUUCGGUAUGUAAAGCUCUAUCAGCAGGGAAGAAAAUGACGGUACGUGACUAAGAAGCCCCGGCUAACUACGUGCCAGCAGCCGCGGUAAUACGUAGGGGGCCAGCGUUAUCCGGAUUUACUGGGUGUAAAGGGAGCGUAGACGGCGGUGCAAGCCAGAUGUGAAAGCCUGGGGCUCAACCCCGGGACUGCAUUUGGAACUGUGCUGCUAGAGUGUCGGUGAGGCAGGCGGAAUUCCUGGUGUAGCGGUGAAAUGCGUAGAGAUUAGGAGGAACACCAGUGGCGAAGGCAGCCUGCUGGACGAUGACUGACGUUGAGGCUCGAAAGCGUGGGGAGCAAACAGGAUUAGAUACCCCAGUAGUC
rnacentral:rRNA from 1 species